rnacentral:lncRNA from 10 species
GUGACUACCAGAAAUUUACCAAGGAAGCUGCCAUGAAAUAACAUGUUUCUUUUAGAAAUACAACUGACUCAAUAGACAGCUAUGGAUGUGCUGUUAUUUUGGAGAUACAAGAGAAGAAUCAGUAGAGCUACAUUUUCUUGGCACUCCAAAAUGUGGAUUUCAAAACUGUUAGUUCAGAAGUGUUCAACUUUUGCUGCCCACUGGAAUUAUCUGGAGAGCUGCAAAAGGACACUGAUGCCUGGGCUGCACCUCCUAGAGGUCUUGAUUUGAUCAAUCCAAAGGAAGGCCUGGGCAGUAAAUUUUUAAAAGUUCCACAGCAUUUCUGAUGGCCUCACGGAUCAGGAGUCUGCAAGACCACCCUCAGGCUUCAUGCACUAAAAGGACUCACAGGACUCAGAAAAAGCUGUCAUACUCAUGUUUGUGGUUUAUUAGAGUGAAAGACUACAGAUUAGAGUCAGCAAAAGGAAAAGGUGGGUAGGGCAGAGUCUAGGAGAAACAGGACACAAGCUUCCAGUUGGCUUCUCCCAAAGGUGUUGCAUGAACAGCACUUAAUUAUCUUAGCAACAAUGUAACACACAUGUAAAUUUUUGCAUCCUAUGAAUCUCAUCUGAGCCUUGGUGUCCAAGGAUUUUUAUUGGGGUUAGUGACAAAGGCAUGCAGCGGCUAUGGGACAACAUUAACUACUCAGUCUCCAGCCCCCAGAGGUCAGUGUGGUUCAACAACUGAUGCAGUGCGGUUCAACAACUUAGACGACAAAAACACUCCUGGCAGGCAGGAGAUUUCAAGAGAGCUCAGAGGUCACCUCCUGGAUGUCAGCCAAGGACCAGUCCUUUUUUUUUUGAAUGUGCAGGGUUUGAGUAACCCAAGACUGCUGUGUUAACCUUUUUCUGGACACCUAUAUACAUAUAUUUGUCUGUUCUUUGGAUUCUCCAUUGAACUGGGUAUUGCUGUUACUGUUUUUGCCUUCCUAGUUCCUCAUUAAUGGGCUAAAAUAAAUCUUUGACACGUUUAUGUUUGCAUAUGAGUCAUGAUUUUACUUUGUUUUUGUUUGUUUGUUUGUUUGU